GAUGAACGCUGGCGGCGUGCCUAAUACAUGCAAGUCGAGCGAACAGAUGAGGAGCUUGCUCCUCUGACGUUAGCGGCGGACGGGUGAGUAACACGUGGAUAACCUACCUAUAAGACUGGGAUAACUUCGGGAAACCGGAGCUAAUACCGGAUAAUAUAUUGAACCGCAUGGUUCAAUAGUGAAAGACGGUUUUGCUGUCACUUAUAGAUGGAUCCGCGCCGCAUUAGCUAGUUGGUAAGGUAACGGCUUACCAAGGCAACGAUGCGUAGCCGACCUGAGAGGGGGAACGGCCACCCUGGAACUGGGAAACGGUCCAGAAUCCCAAGGGAGGCAACAGUAGGGAAUCUUCCGCAAAGGGCGAAAGCUUGACGGAGCAACGCCGCGUGAGUGAUGAAGGUCUUCGGAUCGUAAAACUCUGUUAUUAGGGAAGAACAAAUGUGUAAGUAACUAUGCACGUCUUGACGGUACCUAAUCAGAAAGCCACGGCUAACUACGUG
rnacentral:rRNA from 1 species